rnacentral:rRNA from 1 species
AUGCUUGUCUUGAGGAGAACACCACCUGGGACUUGGUGGCUGACAUUGAGAAGGUCAUGUUCGUCGGAUUGUAGGGCCAGUCUGACUCACCAACCAACCUCGCUUGCUUGCUCUGUUUAUUGUUCUACACCUAUUACUGAAUUCCAGUCGCUAUAUAUGAUUGCUUACCUGUAUAUAUGUACCACUCUGUGUGUAGCAUUUUUCUAA